UACGUAGGGUGCGAGCGUUAAUCGGAAUUACUGGGCGUAAAGCGUGCGCAGGCGGCUUUGCAAGACAGAUGUGAAAUCCCCGGGCUCAACCUGGGAACUGCAUUUGUGACUGCAAGGCUAGAGUACGGCAGAGGGGGAUGGAAUUCCGCGUGUAGCAGUGAAAUGCGUAGAUAUGCGGAGGAACACCGAUGGCGAAGGCAGCUCCCUGGACCUGUACUGACGCUCAUGCACGAAAGCGUGGGGAGCAAACAGG
rnacentral:rRNA from 1 species